UACGAAGGGGGCUAGCGUUGUUCGGAAUUACUGGGCGUAAAGCGCGCGUAGGCGGUGAUCUUUGUCAGAGGUGAAAGCCUGGGGCUCAACUCCAGAAUUGCCUUUGAAACGGGAUUGCUUGAGUCCGAGAGAGGAUGGCGGAAUUCCGUAGUGUAGAGGUGAAAUUCGUAGAUAUUAGGAAGAACACCGGUGGACGAAGGCGGCCAUCGUGG
rnacentral:rRNA from 1 species